rnacentral:rRNA from 1 species
GAUGAACGCUGGCGGCGUGCCUAAUACAUGCAAGUCGAGCGAAUGGAUUGAGAGCUUGCUCUUAUGAAGUUAGCGGCGGACGGGUGAGUGACACGUGGGUAACCUGCCCAUAAGACUGGGAUAACUCCGGGAAACCGGGGCUAAUACCGGAUAACAUUUUGAACAGCAUGGUUCGAAAUUGAAAGGCGGCUUCGGCUGUCACUUAUGGAUGGACGCGCGUCGCAGUAGCUAGUUGGUGAGGUAACGGCUCACCAAGGCAACGAGGCGUAGCCGACCUGGGAGGGUGAGCGGCCACACGGGGACUGAGACACGGCCCAGACUCCUACGGGAGGCAGCAGUAGGGAAGCUUCCGCAAUGGACGAAAGUCUGACGGAGCAACGCCGCGUGAGUGAUGAAGGCUUUCGGGUCGUAAAACUCUGUUGUUAGGGAAGAACAAGUGCUAGUUGAAUAAGCUGGCACCUUGACGGUACCUAACCAGAAAGCCACGGCUAACUACGUGCCAGCAGCCGCAGUAA